GGAGAAGUCAGAAAAACAGACAUCUCUAUCUGUAUCUCAGAUGCUAUAUAGAGACUAUUUCCAGGAGCAAAGAAAAUGUUAUGUUAAUUGCGCUGUGUGGGUUUUGGCAUGUUUGAAGCAUGUGUAUCUUUUUCAAAAACGGUGGUCAGGAUUCAAUCCAAUUCUGCUUUAUUGACCGCUCUCCUUUAAAGACAAUAUAACAUGCUUGCAAAAACUGCAUUCACAAUGAACACUGUAUAUGUCGGCUCAAUCAGGGGGCAGAUAAACUGCAUGUAAUCUCCAGUUAGUAGUGUUUCAGAAAUCCUGAGGCCACCUUAAGAAACCUGUUGGCUGUAAUACCACUAAUAAUUAAAUGAAUAACAAUGAUAAUAGUUUGUUUGUAAUGCAUGUUCACUGCAGUACAACUAGCGCUUAACUGACUGGACAAGAGUAAAACAGAAAACAACAGAACAUCAAACAGAGCAGAUAUAAACAUAAUCACCAAAAUGCCAGGACAAAUCCUUUGAAAGUGUAUCCUAAAUCUAUUCCAACAAUGCAACCCCUUCAUCAAGUGAUCUAUAGUACCAAUCAACCUUUAUAUCUUUCCACAUCUCACCUUGUUAAAGCCCAAACAUCAGAGGCACCACCUCAUAACUAGAAACAUGACAAUUACUUCAAACUUUCACCAAAAAAACAUGACCAAAAUGGACCUCCCGGUGUGUCUCUAUGUUAGUGAUGUAUGUGUGCUUGUGUGUGUACAUGUGUGCGUGCACGCGUGUGGUUGUGGUGUGAGGGAGAAGGUAGGCAGGGGGACAUGCAGCCAAGAUCUGUUCUAGGCUGCUGGGAGAGUGGGCCCCUGCUCUGGCUGGAACCCAUGGCUCUCAUUUGCAGCCUUUAAUAGCCCGCUAUAUUAGACCUCUAAUCUGCCUGAUCCCAAUUUAAUGUGGCUCCCUCAGCCAGACGUGAGACGAAUACUAAACAGACGGCCAUGCGCACACUGCCGAGCUGCAGUCCCCCCGGCCUCAUCACCAGGGUGUGUUUGUGUGUGUGGAAGAGAGAGAGAAAGGGAAGGAGAGAUAGAUCUGAAUAAGUGAACCCGCACACAGAGAAAAGGGGAUAAAGAAGGAGAAGAUUGUGGAGAGGAGUGGAGGAGGGGAUCCGGCGGAUGGGCUGCAUGAGGUCACUGUAGCAUGACUAUUCAAGGAGAUCCUUGCUGAUGAUGGUCCCACACCUGGUGCAAUUUUGUCCAAUAAGCACGGCCCAAUGGGAUCCCUGGACACAGACUGUGAUGGAUGCUUCAACACUGUGAGACUGUGCCACCUGACACACACCCCCAACAGGAGUGCAAAGCCUAAUGUGGGGGAAAAUGCUUCACAGAGGACACGAUACUGUAUAUUAAGGUUAUCUGAAUAUGGACAGAGUUUUAGACAUCCUGUAGUUGCUAUAUACAUUAGAGGACGUCAGGUGUGAGUAUACAGUCGUGUGUCCAUAUCUGCCGUCUUCAUGGUUGGAGCUCCCAACCCACCAGCCCACUCCGGGCACCAAAAAGCAGCCAGGCUCUACCUGCAGUGCGACGGAGUGGAGACUGCCGCUGGAGGAUCGUAACUCGGGCCAUAAAACUGCCAUUUACAGGACGGGGCUGUGAGGGGGCAGUCAUUCAGCACAAAGUCUCUCAUGCACAGACCGAGCCAUGAGAAAACACCCCAACGCAAACAGUCGUCCAUGAAUCACACGUGUGGGAUACAUCACCUAAAGGAUGGGGAAUGGUUAUAAAAAAAACUGUAUCAGCAGUAUCCUAUGUGAAUGAAAGGCACGGGGGUGUCCAAAAUAAAUGGAGCUCUAUACACAGCACAAAAUUAGCACCAUGUUUAGGUUCAAUUCUACAAAUGUAAUUCUACUUCAAUUCUCUCCUUCCAGUUUAUUGUCUUUGAAUUCAGAGAUGUAAUCCUCUGAAUUCUACAUUAUAGCACUGACUUUGUUGUUAGAGAUAUGUAUUGAGAAAGAAAAUGUAGCUACUUACUGAAACUGAGUUAUGUGGCUGUCCCACGUCGCUAUUUUAAGAUAAAUGUACGGUGAGUCAAUGAGAGUGACAAAUAAUAAUCUAAUGUUAGGUCACUUUCAAGAAUUUUAUUACAUUAUCCCUCUCAAACUGUCACAAUUAUUAUUUUGAAUUCCUUUGUUUUCAGACUGAUUGUGUCAUUGUUCAGACAGGCUAGCUAAACAGGGAUACUCGUUAAAAGUAAUAAAAACAAAUUUCAAUACUAUGUGUAUUAAUUUAAUUAACUAGGACUUUAAGUCAAAGUAUUGAACUCCAGUACAAUAUCAUAUGUUAGGCUAGAUGUUUUUAGGGUUAACAGUUUACAAUUGAAUUCUACAGUUAAAUAAUGAUAACAACAAUGAUUGUAAUAUUUAAUUUAUUGAACACAUUUCCUUUGAUCAAUGAGUAUUAUUGAAUUCCAAUUCCAUUACUUGAAUUGUUUAAAUUUUUGAAAUAAAAUUGGAAUUUAACUCAUCCCUGAUUUGCUCCCUAAUCCUUGUUUAAAGAAGUAAUCAGAAGUAGUGCAUGAGAUAAAAGAGUGCCAUUUCAAACACAAACAUGGUAUAAUCUCACCUGAAGGGUUUGUCAUAUAUUGCCAGUAUGGUUCAAAUCCUGAUGUUGAUUGGCUUAUAGCUGUGAUAUAUGUAAGUAAUAAGGCACCUGAGGUUAUGGGGUACGGCCACUAUACCACUGCUAAGCACUGGGUCCAGGCUCUCCGUGAUACUUUGUCCAUAAGAACAGUUCUUAGCCGUGGUAUUUUGGCCAUACACUACACCCCAUAGUAUCAUAUUGCUCACAUAUAUCACAGCUAUCAGCCAAUCAGCAUUCAGGGUUUGAACCACACCAUUUUAAAUUUUAAUUUCAUACAGGUUUGUGGCCUUCCUAUAAUUAGGUAGGGUUGUGUCAUUUAAAUGUCUUGGCUUUUUGAUCUAUACUUAUAAUUGCGCAUACUUAUUUCCUCAGUGGGUUAUUUAUUCUUCAUGAACAAUGGGAGUAAUUCUGUAAACAUCACAAUAAAUCCCUGUGAUACAGAAAGACAAUCUGUCCGGUGUAAGGCAGUCUCCAGGUCAACCAUUCAUAAUGGUUGAUCCUUUGGUUGUAACCCCACUCAGCAAUGCCUGAGAGCGGAAAAACACUUUUCCACUCCGCAACAACAUAUUUGUACAAUCCAAUAUGUGAAACAGGACAAAUACAAGCACCCUGUAUUUCACCUAUAUCAAAACAGUGACAACCCACAAGAAAAGCAACCGUGUUUUCCUAUUCAAUUGUUCUUUGCCACAGUUUUUGUUUGGGAGCUUUUGGCAGCUUACCCAAGAUGAGGGGGGGGGGGGGGCGUGGUUGGCUGUCUCGGCAUGUCCACCGUGUUUGCCAUCCUAAUCAGUCUUACCGUAUGCCCGCCACUAUAUUUGAACCCAGUUGACAAGAACCACGCUGUCUGUCCUCAACAAUCCCCCCCAUCCCACAUAGGACACCCCGUCCACUCACAAUAGCGCGGACAUCUACUCAAGGAAGCAUGCACAGAGACAUACACAAAGAAACACACACACGCGUGCCCACACACACCAACUUGGGUUUAACUGCCGACACCCCCCAUCUAUGCAUGUCAAUGACUACUCCUCUUUUUUCUCGAUGUCUAAUUCUUUUUCUGUCUUGGCAUCCAACCUCCCUUCACUACUUCGCCCCCGUAUUUCUUUCUUGUCAUUUUCACGCCUCCUCCUCGUCCCUCUCAUCCAUCUUUCUCUGUCUACUUAUACUCUCUUUACAUCCUUGUCCAUCCUCCCUCUAUUAGCUGCAAUGCGGGGUAUAUUGGCAAAGCUGGCACAGGGUGCUGUGUCUGCUACACGGAAAAUCUGGGUAUGUGUUACAUGGUUAAAAGUGUAUGUGUGUGGUGUGUGCAUGUCUGCCUUAAUGCUUGUAUUCUGUCUCAGCCACUGUCAGAUUGUAGAAAUCAAGUGGGCCCAUGGGAGUUAGAGGCAGAUGGUGUCACCUUCCUUCCAUCAGAGCGUGCUACUGUCAUUGAUCCAGUUUAUAGCCACUUCUUUCAUGUUACUCAUUUCAAGCUAGUUCUCUGUAUUCGCCCAUUUAAACUGUCAAGUCAGGUUUAAUCUGGCUAAUUUCCCUCACAAAUAUUGUGUAGCUCUUCCUCUUUGAAAAAGUAAAAUAGCAAGGAACCUCAUUAAAAAGAAAGACUAACCUUACCAAACAUAAACUCCUCUAACUCCUCUUUUUAACGCAAUUUAACAGAAGCCCGCUGACCUCUUGAAGGGAAGCCUUUUAAAGGAACAUGGGUGACUAGCUUUUGCACCAUCUAACAGCACUAGCCAUUAGGAUGGCAGGAAUGGCUGGGAGCCGAUAUGGCGUCGACAGCUUCACAGCGAGGAAGGUAAACAGACUUUAUGGUGCAUUACCAAACCCCAGGAACAGUAUGGUGCCCACAAUCCCUGUGCUCUGCCAAACUAAAAGCAAUCCCGCCGUGUACGAUACGGGAUGCCUUAACAGUGCUGAAUUACCAAAAGGGCAAGCAGGGCGUGUGUUCUGGGGCCCAAUUCCUCCAGACUCUUUAUUUUAAUGUUUUACAUUAGGGCUCGUACAUAGCAUAUCUGCAACACACAGCAGAUAGCAGAAUGUGAAGCGUCACCAAAGUUUCUGUCAUGAAAGAAACAGAUUUGAUGUACAAAAUGCAAAUAUUGCAAAUAACCCAGUGCCUUUGUCUCACCCCGGUGCCUCAGAGUUUUCUCUCAUGUACAAACACAUGUAUGAUGCGAUUCCUUGCUUCCAUGUAAAUCUGUCUGUCCACUGGAAUUUAAUGUGAUCACAACUGAA